ACACAACCUAUUUUCCUCCUUUACCAGCCCACUAGUAUCCAUGGGGAUCCAUAGGGGUCCCGCUACCCGUUAACCCUUAACACUUGAAAUCAUAUUCCAGGGCCGUCCCCAUACCCCGUCCGGUAUGGGCGCCAAACCAUAGACCUCAUUACCCCGUCCGGUAUGAGGGUGAAACGGGCCGUCCCCAUACCCUGUCCGGUAUGGGCGCCAAAACACAUAAGAUCUCCAUACCCCGUCCGGUAUGGGAGACCACAAUCCCGGUAGGAUUCCCUACGGACCCGGUCCGUCCACCAUCUCCCAGGAUAUCUAGUCAGGCUGACCACAUUAUACAAUU
rnacentral:lncRNA from 1 species